rnacentral:lncRNA from 1 species
GCCGCACCCGCCCGCCGCCUUCCCGACUCGCACCGCGCCACUUCCCGGCGGCUAGAGCGGCCCUAGAGGCGCGCGACUGCUAGGGACGACCGGCCUGGAGCGCCCUCGCCGGGAGCGGCGGCCUCACCGGCCCCGGCCCCGGCCCCGGCCCCGGCCCCUCAGACCUCCGCAGUCCCAGGCGCCUGGCGUGCGUCCACCCAGGAGUCGCAGGGGCUGUUCUCAGUCGACCCGCGGGGAACCGGGCCUCAGGGGAGGAAGAUAUGAGGAAGACCAUUACUCUGAGCUUGGAGAGCCAAAUGGAAGCUGGUGCCUUCCCCCAGGAAAGCUAGGAGAAAGUCAGAUUUGGAAGAAGAUGGUGACAGGGGACGUUCUGUGUACUAAAGGAGUCUGGGAGUCAUGAAGUGCAUAGAGUUGAAGAAAGGAGACUACAGUUCACUUCCCACUGGUCACCCAAGACUCCUAAAGAAAUGACAAUCCCUUGGCACUGCAUUUAAUUGGAGAGGAGCUC